UCCCUGGAGGACUAGUGGUUUGCCCACGGUGCUCCCACCGCCACGGCCCGGGUUCAAUUCCUGGCCAGGGAA